UAAAUUUAUAAAGGGGUUUUCUAACUUAGACCCUAGUUAGGUCUAAGUUAGCAAGGUGCACCUUUUGAGUUGGACAAAAAUACCCAUUUUUUUUUUUUUUGAAACAAUAGAGCAACUGGGGCAUGUAUGUAAUUUGCAUCAUAAAAAUACCCUUUUUUUUUUUUUUGAAACAAUAGAACAACUAUUACAUUUUUUAAAUUUCUUCCAAAUUUUGACCUCAUUUUACGUGCGAUUCGAACGCCGAUUUCAAAAACUAAUACCGGAAACCUUUGUAAAAUUGAAAAACGAUCAAAAUCCAUAUAAGGAACGUCGAGUUUCGUUGAGUAUUGAGGGAGAUCGAACCGGGUCAAAAACCGGGUCGCA
rnacentral:lncRNA from 1 species